rnacentral:tRNA from 1 species
GGAGAGGUAGCGGAACUGGCAGACGCAAUUUGUAUUGUGAAAACGUAUCAUUUUAAUAAUGUUGCAAAUACACCCAAAGAGGCAAAUGUAGUGUAGGUUCAAAUCCUACCCUCUCCA